rnacentral:lncRNA from 1 species
AAGUAAGAUGAUGCCUGACUGAGCCAUGGAGAUGGAAGUCGGGCCCUCAGCAAGAAGAACCAAUGGGACAUGAUGGUCCUUAGGAUUUGAGAGUGGAACGGAAGUCUCAAGGAUGCUCCAGAUCCUACAAACAUUGUGUCUCAUUCAUUCUGGAAUGGAAUGUGAAGCCUCAGUUGCUGAGAACUUUCACCACUGCGGUGGAAGGAUUGAGAAGAUCAGUCAGAAAACUUGCCUCCAGAUCUUCCCUGUUGGGUUCAUUUCUGCACAUCAUUCUCAAGUGGUGAAAUUGGCAUCCAUCCAUUCAGUACAGGCUACCUGUGCUCCUUCGCCAAGCACCACAGAAGUUCCUUAUGUAUGGAAUGUGGUCUUGACAGCCCUUCCAAGAAGGUAUCGCCACCCUCAUUCAGGUAAUUCUCUUAGAAAGGUUUGGAUGCCAGCCCCAGCUCCCUCCUUACCAAUGGGUCCUAAAUCUCCUCUUCCUGGAUCUGUGUUUUCAAGAUGAAAACAAUCCCUAGUUCUCCAGGUUUCCUUAAUGAGAUGCCACCCAAGUGCACCAUAUAGGCCAUUUCUAAAAGAACCAACUUCUCAAACAAAAUGAAAAGAUCACUCGAAGAAGAAGCCUCACCAAAGAGGCAGUGCAAUAAGCCAAGGUUGUGUCCUUCCUGCACAGUACAAAAGUAGACAGCAUCCCUCCCUGGGUCUCAUGGACUCAGGAGCAUCACAGACUUUCUACAUCCUAUCUCUGGACUUUGAGUAGAGAAUGGCUGGCUUGAAGGACAUUCCAUGGAUGGAUCUGUCUGGUGAAGGAUCAUCUGCUUCCCUCUUGAGAUUAGAAGAGGACACCUGCCACUGAGUCACAUGGGACCCUCUACCCCAGAACACAGCCUUAAUCCAACUCAAACAGUGACUGAACCACUGGUUCAGUUGAGAUUCGGUUGUGGCCUAGGAACCACCCCCAAGCACAAGACUUUGUGAAAUGAAAGCUGAAAAUGAAGGCUGGGUAGAAAUGAGGUCAUGGAGGGCUGCACCCAUCUCCUCUGCCUAGCCAACAGCAGCCUAGCCAGGCAGCACGCCACGUGAAGCUAAAAGCUGUGCAGGCAGCAGAACAGAAAACACAAACCUUAGAGAGAGGGGAGGGAGCAGGUGCCAGCAGGUGCAGGGAGAUUAAAGGCACGGCAGAGCUCACAUUAUGAACACAAAAUGAUCAUGUAGGCGUCUGCUUUAUCUCUGCUGUGGAACAUUGUGAUAAAUUAUUAAUAAAAGGGCUCGUGCAAAGGCUGAUGAAAAAGAG